rnacentral:rRNA from 1 species
GACGAACGCUGGCGGCGUGCUUCAUACAUGCAAGUCGAACGAGAAGCAGGAGCUUGCUCCUGUGGAAAGUGGCGGACGGGUGAGUAAUAUGUGGGCAACCUGCCUCAUAGAGGGGAAUAGCCUCCCGAAAGGGAGAUUAAUACCGCAUAAGAUUGUAGCUUCGCAUGAAGUAGCAAUUAAAGGAGCAAUCCGCUAUGAGAUGGGCCCGCGGCGCAUUAGCUAGUUGGUGAGGUAACGGCUCACCAAGGCGACGAUGCGUAGCCGACCUGAGAGGGUGAUCGGCCACAUUGGGACUGAGACACGGCCCAGACUCCUACGGGAGGCAGCAGUGGGGAAUAUUGCACAAUGGGGAAACCCUGAUGCAGCAACGCCGCGUGAGUGAUGACGGCCUCGGUUGUAAGCGUCUGUCGUUCUAGGGACGAGUAAUGACGGUAACCGUGAGGAGGAAGGCCACGGCUAACUACGUGCCAGCAGCCGC